rnacentral:lncRNA from 1 species
UGUAAACUGCAACAAAAUAAUAUGAUAAAAGUGAUAUCAAAAUAAUACAAUUAAACUUAAAUUUUACGCACAAAAUUUCUCAAAGCCGAUCGAGAUUCAUCUACAAACUGUAAACUACCACAAAAUAACAAACUAAUAGAGAUAUUACAAUAAUAUAAUUAAACCUAACUUUUACCUAAAAAUAAAUUCAAAACCGACCCACAUUCAUCUAGCAUUUGUAAAUUAAAAUAAAAUGAUAAGAUAAUA